rnacentral:rRNA from 1 species
CUACGGGAUGCAGCAGUAAGGAAUAUUGCACAAUGGGGGAAACCCUGAUGCAGCAACGCCGCGUGGACGAAGAAGGCCUUCGGGUCGUAAAGUCCUUUUCUGAGGGAAGAGGAAGGACGGUACCUCAGGAAUAAGUCUCGGCUAACUACGUGCCAGCAGCCGCGGUAAAACGUAGGAGGCGAGCGUUAUCCGGAUUCACGGGGCGUAAAGGGCAAGUAGGCGGUUGUUUAAGUUAGGUGUGACAUCUCUCGGCUUAACUGGGAGGGAGCGCUUAAAACUAGGCAACUAGAGGGCGGAAGAAGGGGGUAGAACUCCAAAUGUAGCGGUGGAAUGCUCAGAUAUUUGGAAGAAUACCAGUGGCGAAGGCGACCCCCCGGUCCGUGCCUGACGCUGAGAGGCGAAAGCUAGGGUAGCGAACGGGAUUAGAUACCCUAGUAGUC